UCUUCCGUAGUAUAGUGGUCAGUAUGUGAGCUUGUCAUCGCCGGCGACGCUCGAGACCCGGGUUCAAUUCCCGGCGGGAGAG